AACGCGAAGAACCUUACCAGGUCUUGACAUCCCUUGACAACGCUAGAAAUAGCGCGUUCCCUUCGGGGACAAGGUGACAGGUGGUGCAUGGUUGUCGUCAGCUCGUGUCGUGAGAUGUUGGGUUAAGUCCCGCAACGAGCGCAACCCUUAUUAUUAGUUGCCAUCAUUAAGUUGGGCACUCUAGGUUGACUGCCGGUGAUAAACCGGAGGAAGGUGGGGAUGACGUCAAAUCAUCAUGCCCCUUAUGACCUGGGCUACACACGUGCUACAAUGGCAUAUACAACGAGUCGCUAACCUGCGAAGGUACGCUAAUCUCUUAAAGUAUGUCUCAGUUCGGAUUGUAGGCUGCAACUCGCCUACAUGAAGUCGGAAUCGCUAGUAAUCGCGGAUCAGCACGCCGCGGUGAAUACGUUCCCGGGUCUUGUACACACGC
rnacentral:rRNA from 1 species